UCCCACGUGGUCUAGUGGUUAGGAUACCUGGCUUUCACCCAGGAGGCCCGGGUUCGAUUCCCGGCGUGGGAA
rnacentral:tRNA from 1 species